GUGCCAGCCGCCGCGGUAAUACGGAGGGUGCAAGCGUUGCUCGGAAUUACUGGGCGUAAAGCGUACGCAGGCUGUUCGUUAAGUCGGGUGUGAAAUCCCGGGGCUCAACCCCGGAAUUGCGCCCGAAACUGACGAGCUUGAGUGCGGGAGAGGGAAGCGGAAUUCCUGGUGUAGAGGUGAAAUUCGUAGAUAUCAGGAGGAACACCGGUGGCGAAAGCGGCUUCCUGGCCCGACACUGACGCUCAUGUACGAAAGCGUGGGGAGCAAACAGGAUUAGAAACCCCAGUAGUCC
rnacentral:rRNA from 1 species